AUUGAACGCUGGCGGCAGGCCUAACACAUGCAAGUCGAACGAGUGGCGGACGGGUGAGUAAUGUCUGGGAAACUGCCUGAUGGAGGGGGAUAACUACUGGAAACGGUAGCUAAUACCGCAUACCAUCAGAUGUGCCCAGAUGGGAUUAGCUUGUGGGUGGGGUAAAGGCUCACCAAGGCGACGAUCCCUAGAUGGUCUGAGAGGAUGACCAACCACACUGGUAGUGAGACACGGUCCAGACGCCAACGUGGGGCAGCAAUGGGGCAUAUUGCAAAGUGGGCGCAAGCCUGAUGCAACCAUGACGAGUGUAUGAAGAAGGCCUUCGGGUUGUAGAGUACUUACAGCGGGGUGGCGUUACCCGCAGAAGAAGCACCGGCUAACUCCGUGCCAGCAGCCGCGGUAAUUC
rnacentral:rRNA from 1 species